UUAGCAACGCUCACAGCUUGGUGCAUCUGGAAACACCGCAACCGCUGCUUGUUCGACGGCGAUACCCACUCCAUCUCGAGGCUGUUUGCGUCUAUUCAGGACGAGGCUAGGGCCUAGGCUCGGGCUGGUGCUCGCGGACUAAAUCUAUUGUUGGCAUAG
rnacentral:rRNA from 1 species